GCAGCAAAGGCUGCGAUGCUAGUUACAUACAGAAUGGCAGUCGAUUUAGACAACCAUUCAUGCUCACGAGCGGGUUAAGGUCUGAGUAUUCUUGCCUCUUUCGUUUGCCUUUAGCUAAGGCCGACAUUAACUAUGUCGAGGGAUGUACCAGAAAUCCACCACAUCUGUUACCUUCAUGGCUAUCGAUGGCCAGGUUCUAGGACAUGCGAGAGAAGGAUCGUUGGUUUGAGAAGUAUCCCAGAGACAGAAUGCACUUAUCCUACUCCAUGAAGCUCAUUACGGCAGACACGUUAGUGUGCUCGUCUGGAGUCCACCAACGCCUGCGGAGGGUUCCUCGACCAAUCCCAAGGGCUAUCGGCUUCGAUCACUUACAAGCCAUAGUCAACUGGUAUCGGUAUAUAUGUGAUGUGAUAUUACCGCCGGUUAGGGUCUGACUAGACUUCGAAGAUCCACUUUACCGUCACUGUACGGCUGGAUCUUUGGGCUAUAAUAGGUCGUGGCCUCAUAAACAGGAAUGUCGAGUCGGCAUGCUUUGCGCGGAUGAACUUACCUGGCUAGGAUAAGUGUGUUCUUAAGUGCAAUUUGCGGCUCGUGUGUUUUGCAUACGAAACUCAAUUCUGACUAUUCUGGGGCAGUGC
rnacentral:RNase_P_RNA from 2 species